rnacentral:tRNA from 1 species
GCAAGUGGCUUAAUGGUUAGAGUAUUUGGCUCACAAUCAUAAGGUUGUGAGUUCAAUUUUCAGCGAUGCA